GCAGGCCUAACACAUGCAAGUCGAGCGGAUGAGUGGAGCUUGCUCCAUGAUUCAGCGGCGGACGGGUGAGUAAUGCCUAGGAAUCUGCCUGGUAGUGGGGGACAACGUUUCGAAAGGAACGCUAAUACCGCAUACGUCCUACGGGAGAAAGCAGGGGACCUUCGGGCCUUGCGCUAUCAGAUGACCCUAGGUCGGAUUAGCUAGUUGGUGGGGUAAAGGCCUACCAAGGCGACAAUCCGUAACUGGUCUGAGAGGAUGAUCAUCCCCACUGGAACUGAUACACGGUCCAGACUCCUACGGGAGGCAGCAGUGGGGAAUAUUGGACUAUGGCCUAAC
rnacentral:rRNA from 1 species